rnacentral:rRNA from 1 species
UACGAAGGGUGCAAGCGUUACUCGGAAUUACUGGGCGUAAAGCGUGCGUAGGCGGUUUGUUAAGUCCGUUGUGAAAGCCCUGGGCUCAACCUGGGAAUGGCAGUGGAUACUGGCGGGCUAGAGUGCGGUAGAGGGUAGUGGAAUUCCCGGUGUAGCAGUGAAAUGCGUAGAGAUCGGGAGGAACACCAGUGGCGAAGGCAGCUACCUGGACCAGCACUGACACUGAGGCACGAAAGCGUGGGGAGCGAACAGG